GAGAUAAUGGCUCUUGGGACACAGCUGGGUAAGACGAAUAUUGCUGCCUGGGCUAGCAAAGAAGAGGAUAAAGAUGCAUCAACAUCAGUAAAAUCUGCAGCAUCAUAACAACUAGCUAGGAGUAUUAUUGAGACACGUGCAGCAGCAUGGGAGGAGGCUGAGAAAGCCAAGUAUUUGGCUAGGUUAGUAUAUGCAUGCCCUUUGUGUUUUCUUCACUGAUUUCCAUUUUGAAACCCCUAGAAUACUAAAUGUUUUAAUCUCUGUCUAUAUAUCUAUAGAUAGAGAUAGCUAAAGCUUUAAAAGUAUACUAAUACUCUGAAGACUGAGGAAUGUUGCAAUGGUAGGAGAUGGAUUUCAGGCACAUAUUAACUAUAGAAGUAAAUUUCAGUAAGGUCAAAAGAUGGAUGAAAUGAAUUCCAUCUCUUACAAUUGUAACUUGAUUGUUGGCUCAUCAGAGUCAUUAUGCUCUGGUUGUUCUAUGUUACAAUUCAUGCUGUAAUGAUAACUGUAAUUGUCCAGGUUUAAACGUGAAGAGAUGAAAAUUCAAGCGUGGGAGAAUCAUCAGAAAGCUAAAUCAGAAGCAGAGAUGCAGAAAGUCGAGGUACUUUAUUCAACGAGCUUCCUUCAAUGACCUGUUAGUGAACUCAAAUUUCUAAUCGAUGGAGUCUCUUGAUUUAUUGAAACUGACGGCCGUUAUUUCCAGGUAGAAAUUGAAAGGUUAAGGGGACGGGCACACAGUAAGCUAAUGAAUAAAAUAGCAGCUGCAAGGCAUAAGGCUCAAGAAAAGCGGGCAUCGGCGGAGGCCAAGAAAAACCAGCAAGCUGCAAAAACGGAGCAACAAGCAGAGCACAUUCGCAGAACUGGUCGGGUCCCUACCACAUUUUUGUGGUUGGGGUUGGUGCUCUUGAUGUUCGAGUCACUUGUUGGCCAUAUCAACACAUCUAUUUCUAUUCUUAAUCGUCUCAACGCGUCCGAUAACCACAAAGUCCUCCCUCUGAAGAAUACAAAGUGGAGUCCCAACCUUGAUGCCUUGAAGACCUUUAACCCGCACAAUAAUUGGAUAUUUCCUGUGGAAAACACCUUUUGGUAAAAUCUUGAGCUUACAUGGAAAGACAGCUUCCUUGUCUGCAGCAGCUAACUCCUUCUCCUUUUCCUCCUUGGGGUUUUUCAUAUAGGCCUUAAUCACCUCAUGAAUUAUAUCACCAACAAAAAUGCCAAGAUCUUCUUUUCAAGCAUCACACUGGCCUUCUUCACCCACAGUUGCUCUCUCUCAAGCAAGUUCCCUUGAACUUGUGACUCAGAGUCUCACAAGUUCCUGCUUCUGCAACCAUUGCAUUUGGCCCCAUCCCUACAUUUUAAACACAAACAUUAGUAUUCAUAGUUUCAUACAAAAAGUUCAUUUACAUCUAGUAAUAGAGAUUAAAACAGUGAGAAAAUCAGAAGGAUGUUGCUCAUAUAUGAUUAUACCAGAAGCAUGAGAGCAACAAAGAAAAGUCGAAAGAUAAGCUUCCUCCUCCACAGCAGCUAGCUCCUUCUCCUUUUCAUCCUUGAGGUUUUUCAUAUAGGCCUCAAUCACCUCAUGCAUUAUAUCACCAACAAAAAUCUUCACACCCAAUUUAUCUGCUAGUUUCUGGGCCUCGGGUGUCACUUUGACCUCAAAUGCCAAGAUCUUCUUUUCAAGCAUCACAUUGGCCUUCUUCACGAACCGGAAUAUCAACUUCUUGAGCCUUCAGAAACUCUAGCAUUGCUUCCAAAGAGCCUUGAGCUGAUGCUUGUGCACAUACACCUUUGUCUCCAGAACUGCUGUUACCACCACUCAUGUUGUCGUUCACUAGAACACAAUUCAUCAUGUCUUCCAUAGCUGCUUCCUUGAUUUCUUCCAAGUCAACAUCAGGCCUUAUGACAUAGAGAGCAGUGCCAGCAAUAGCAUGUUUAAACCCCUGUGGUGAUGUGAUCUUGAUAGCCUGUGCAGCUCUGAUUUCACUAUGAUGCUGAUACUUUCCCUUCACACAAAGCUCAUUAACCAAUAUAACAUCAAUUGUUGUCCCAUUAACCAAUAUAACAUCAAAUGUUGUCCCAAGACCUUCAACAUAAUUGACCUCCAACAAUGUACACCGCACUUCAUUGAUGUAAGUAAACUUCUCAGCCAUGGAUUUCUGAGACCAAUAGACCAUCAGUGACAACAAAUCAGGAAUGUCUUCACCACUCUUGGCACUUAUAGGUACAAUGCUGUGUGUAUCCCUCAUUCUUUUGUUCUCAUCCAAAUUCAAUUUCAUAUUGAUCCCCUGCGCCUUGAACUGAGUGAUAUCUCCUCAACUUUCUUAUUGACUGAUAUUUCACAUCCUUUCACAUCCUUGUUGACAAUUGGUGCAUUUGGACAAGGAUUCCACCCGCAGAGCCUGUCCACCUUAUUCAAUUGCAACAUUGCAUAAACAAUGCCUGGUAGGAGUUUUAAAACCAAAACCUUGAUAUCUUUACUGAAGACCAUUUUAAAACAUGUUUAACCAAAAACUUAUAUUGGAACCCAAUGUGUAACAGUAGUUAGAAGUAAGAACAGUAACUUGAUGGUUAAAAGGAAAUUGCAGCUUAGAGGAAAUUUUUCUCAAAACAUACAUAACAGACCAAAGCAAUAGAAGGAUACCUAAAUGUCCUUGCUCAAAAUAUAAGCUGAAUCAAACUGACCAUGGACAUAUCUACCAUAUACAACGUGUUAAUCAAUCCAGAUAGAAUAACACUAAGGCUGCUUAUCACCCCCAGCUUAGUCAGUUUAUUAUCAGCAGUGCUGCCAAUAAUGUUUCAUUGAAUUUGAAACAUACAGAGGAAGUUCAUGGACAUUACCUGGAGGAGUAGCCACGAACACAACUCUAUUCUCUUUAGUGAUUCCGAAAACAUCUUUCAGCACCGGGAAUGAGUUUUUCUUCUCAAACCUCCUCAUUUUCUUAUACACUUGUCAAAAAACCGACAAUGCCAUUCGGCUCGCUCAGCUUUAUCUCCUCGAUCCACUCCGCCCAAGUCACAAACAACUCCGAAAAAAGUAACAAUCUGGCACAGGCUACCGUGAAUCCUACUACUUCUUUUACAGCAGAGGCUGGCCUGCCUGCAUAGUAGCCGGUCCGGGCUUGAAGAAAUUAGGUGCCGGUCUGGGACCAUGCCCAACCCUAAUAAACAGCUCGCUUAAAAGAAGGACAACUUGGUCAUUUCUCAAACCAUACCUAAAAAUCGAUGUGUGAGAGAAACACACUGUGCAACGAUGAGUGGGAACCCCCCGGCGAGUUCAAAGAGGGUUGUGUGGGUACCAAAAGCAGCGACCGGGAAUCCUUCUACCCCGACCGUGAAUCCUACUACCCUUGCCGUGAAUCCUACUACCCUUACCGCCGUGAAUCCUCUAACGCCUGCUGUGAAUCCUACUACUUCUAGCGCCACGAUUGUGCAGAGUGCGAUUCUGUGGAGUGAGUUAUCGUGUUACAGACUCAAAGCUGCAGCUUUUCAGUUCCUCGAAGGUUUUUGGUUCCAAAGUUCAAUCGCACCUACUAUGUGUACGAUAACAACAUUGAGGGUACGGCACGGCGGGCCCA
rnacentral:lncRNA from 1 species